CAGUAGCCACGGGAAUACGAAGGGUGCAAGCGUUACUCGGAAUUACUGGGCGUAAAGCGUGCGUAGGUGGUGGUUUAAGUCCGUUGUGAAAGCCCUGGGCUCAACCUGGGAAUUGCAGUGGAUACUGGGUCACUAGAGUGUGGUAGAGGAUAGUGGUAUUUCCGGUGUAGCAGUGAAAUGCGUAGAGAUCGGAAGGAACAUCUGUGGCGAAGGCGACUAUCUGGGCCAACACUGACACUGAGGCACGAAAGCGUGGGGAGCAAACAGGAUUAGAUACCCCGGUAGUCCCUGUCUCUUAUAC
rnacentral:rRNA from 1 species